CCCUACGGCCAUACCACCCUGAAUACGCUCGAUCUCAUCUGAUCUCAGAAGCUAAGCAGGGUCAGGCCUGGUUAGUACUUGGAUGGGAGACCGCCUGGAAAUACCGGGUGCUGUAGGCU